rnacentral:rRNA from 1 species
UACGAAGGGGGCUAGCGUUGCUCGGAAUCACUGGGCGUAAAGCGCACGUAGGUGGGUCGGUAAGUUGAGGGUGAAAUCCCAGGGCUCAACCCUGGAACUGCCUUCAAUACUGGCGACCUUCGAGUCCGGGAGAGGUGAGUGGAACUGCGAGUGUAGAGGUGAAGUUCGUAGAUAUUCGCAAGAACACCAGUGGCGAAGGCGGCUCACUGGCCCGGUACUGACACUGAGGUGCGAAAGCGUGGGGAGCAAACAGG